rnacentral:rRNA from 1 species
GAUGAACGCUGGCGGCGUGCCUAAUACAUGCAAGUCGAGCGAACGGACGAGAAGCUUGCUUCUCUGAUGUUAGCGGCGGACGGGUGGGUAACACGUGGAUAACCUACCUAUAAGACUGGGAUAACUUCGGGAAACCGGAGCUAAUACCGGAUAAUAUUUUGAACCGCAUGGUUCAAAAGUGAAAGACGGUCUUGCUGUCACUUAUAGAUGGAUCCGCGCUGCAUUAGCUAGUUGGUAAGGUAACGGCUUACCAAGGCAACGAUGCAUAGCCGACCUGAGAGGGUGAUCGGCCACACUGGAACUGAGACACGGUCCAGACUCCUACGGGAGGCGGCAGUAGGGAAUCUUCCGCAAUGGGCGAAAGCCUGACGGAGCAACGCCGCGUGAGUGAUGAAGGUCUUCGGAUCGUAAAACUCUGUUAUUAGGGAAGAACAUAUGUGUAAGUAACUGUGCACAUCUUGACGGUACCUAAUCAGAAAGCCACGGCUAACUACGUG